rnacentral:rRNA from 1 species
AGAGCGAACGCUGGCGGCAGGCCUAAUACAUGCAAGUCGAACGCACCUUCGGGUGAGUGGCGGACGGGUGAGUAACACGUGGGAACGUGCCUUUGGUUCGGAAUAAUCCGGGGAAACCUGGCCUAAUACCGAAUGUGCCCCCUCCUUUAACCAGGGGGGUGGGAAAGAUUUAUCGCCAUUAGAGCGGCCCGCGUCUGAUUAGCUAGUUGGUGAGGUAAUGGCCCACCAAGGCUACGAUCAGUAGCUGGUCUGAGAGGAUGAUCAGCCACACUGGGACUGAGACACGGCCCAGACUCCUACGGGAGGCAGCAGUAGGGAAUCUUGCGCAAUGGGCGAAAGCCUGACGCAGCCAUGCCGCGUGAAUGAUGAAGGUCUUAGGAUUGUAAAGCUCUUUUGUGCGGGAAGAUAAUGACGGUACCGCAAGAAUAAGCCCCGGCUAACUUCGUGCCAGCAGCCGC